rnacentral:rRNA from 1 species
GUGGGGAAUUUUGGACAAUGGGCGAAAGCCUGAUCCAGCAAUGCCGCGUGUGUGAAGAAGGCCUUCGGGUUGUAAAGCACUUUUGUCAGGAAAGAAAUCCUUAGGGCUAAUACCUCAAGGGGAUGACGGUACCUGAAGAAUAAGCACCGGCUAACUACGUGCCAGCAGCCGCGGUAAUACGUAGGGUGCAAGCGUUAAUCGGAAUUACUGGGCGUAAAGCGUGCGCAGGCGGUUUCGUAAGACAGAUGUGAAAUCCCCGGGCUCAACCUGGGAACUGCAUUUGUGACUGCGAGGCUAGAGUGUGUCAGAGGGAGGUGGAAUUCCGCGUGUAGCAGUGAAAUGCGUAGAGAUGCGGAGGAACACCGAUGGCGAAGGCAGCCUCCUGGGAUAACACUGACGCUCAGGCACGAAAGCGUGGGGAGCAAACAGGAUUAGAUACCCCUGUAGUCC